rnacentral:tRNA from 1 species
GGCCUGAUGGUCUAGAAGUAUGAUUCUUCCUUCGGGUUGUGAAGCCUGGUGAAUAAUUCACUUUAAUGGAAGAGGUCCCGGGUUCAAUUCCCGGUCAGGCCC